UACGAAGGGGGCUAGCGUUGCUCGGAAUCACUGGGCGUAAAGGGUGCGUAGGCGGGUCUUUUAAGUCAGAGGUGAAAUCCUGGAGCUCAACUCCAGAACUGCCUUUGAUACUGAGGAUCUUGAGUUCGGGAGAGGUGAGUGGAACUGCGAGUGUAGAGGUGAAAUUCGUAGAUAUUCGCAAGAACACCAGUGGCGAAGGCGGCUCACUGGCCGAGUACUGACGCUGAGGCAGAA
rnacentral:rRNA from 1 species